rnacentral:tRNA from 1 species
GGGCUAUAGCUCAAUGGUAGAGCAUCUGCUUUGCAUGCAGAAGGUCCCAGGUUCAAUCCCCAGCAUCUCCA